UAUUCUUUAUAGCUUGCUAUGAGAAUAAUUAGUGGCAGACGGGUGAGUAAUGCAUAGGAAUCUACCUAGUAGUAUAGGAUAGCCACUAGAAAUGGUGGGUAAUACUGUAUAAUCCCUGCGGGGGAAAGAUUUAUCGCUACAUGAUGAGCCUAUGUUAGAUUAGCUAGUUGGUGGGGUAAUGGCCUACCAAGGCAGUGAUCUAUAGCUGGUCUGAGAGGAUGAUCAGCCACACUGGAACUGAGACACGGUCCAGACUCCUACGGGAGGCAGCAGUGGGGAAUAUUGGACAAUGGGCGCAAGCCUGAUCCAGCUAUGCCGCGUGAGUGAGGAAGGCCUUAGGGUUGUAAAACUCUUUCAGUAGGGAAGAUAAUG
rnacentral:rRNA from 1 species